rnacentral:rRNA from 1 species
GACGAACGCUGGCGGCGUGCUUAACACAUGCAAGUCGAGCGGAGCGGCGAACGGGUGAGUAACGCGUGAGUAACUGCCCCCCUCUCUGGGAUAACAGUUGGAAACGGCUGCUAAUAACGGAUAGUGGGGGAUGACUCGCGUCCUAUCAGCUUGUUGGUGGGGUAGUGGCCUACCAAGGCGACGACGGGUAGCCGACCUGAGAGGGCGAACGGCCACAUUGGGCUGAGCUACGGACCAAACUCCUACGGGAGGCAGCAGUGGAGAAUUGUGCACAACGGGGAAAACCCUGAUGCAGCAACGCCGCGUGCGGGAUGCCGUCCUUCGGGUUGUAAACCGCUUUCAGCCAUGACGCGGUAGUGGCAGAAGAAGCACCGGCUAACUACGUGCCAGCAGCCGCGGUAAUAC